GACGAACGCUGGCGGCGUGCCUAAUACAUGCAAGUAGAACGCACAGUUUAUACCGUAGCUUGCUACACCAUAGACUGUGAGUUGCGAACGGGUGAGUAACGCGUAGGUAACCUGCCUGGUAGCGGGGGAUAACUAUUGGAAACGAUAGCUAAUACCGCAUAAUAUUGAUUAUUGCAUGAUAAUUAAUUGAAAGGUGCAAUUGCACCACUACCAGAUGGACCUGCGUUGUAUUAGCUAGUAGGUGAGGUAACGGCUCACCUAGGCGACGAUACAUAGCCGACCUGAGAGGGUGAUCGGCCACACUGGGACUGAGACACGGCCCAGACUCCUACGGGAGGCAGCAGUAGGGAAGCUUCGGCAAUGGACGAAAGUCUGACCGAGCAACGCCGCGUGAGUGAAGAAGGUUUUCGGAUCGUAAAGCUCGGUUGUAAGAGAAGAACGGGUGUGAGAGUGGAAAGUUCACACUGUGACGGUAUCUUACCAGAAAGGGACGGCUAACUACGUG
rnacentral:rRNA from 1 species